GACGAACGCUGGCGGCGUGCUUAACACAUGCAAGUCGAACGGAAAUGCCCUGCUUUUGUGGGGUGCUCGAGUGGCGAACGGGUGAGUAACACGUGAGUAACCUGCCCUUGACUUUGGGAUAACUUCAGGAAACUGGGGCUAAUACCGGAUAGGAGCUCCUGCUGCAUGGUGGGGGUUGGAAAGUUUCGGCGGUUGGGGAUGGACUCGCGGCUUAUCAGCUUGUUGGUGGGGUAGUGGCUUACCAAGGCUUUGACGGGUAGCCGGCCUGAGAGGGUGACCGGCCACAUUGGGACUGAGAUACGGCCCAGACUCCUACGGGAGGCAGCAGUGGGGAAUAUUGCACAAUGGGCGGAAGCCUGAUGCAGAAACGCCGCGUGCGGGAUGACGGCCUUCGGGUUGUAAACCGCUUUCGCCUGUGACGAAGCGAGAGUGAAGGUAAUGGGUAAAGAAGCACAGGCUAAAUACGUG
rnacentral:rRNA from 1 species